UGCUAAUUAAUUUACCUUUAUAUUAAAAAAACGCCUAAAAGCUUUUGUGUUUAUUUCCAAGAAAAGCGUUACGUUUUUAAAUGUUCUGUUCUUCGGCAACGUUCAGAUGUAUUUAUAUACGGCUCUGCAUGCAAGUGGACUUAAACAGUCAUUCAAUAUUUAUCCUCUGAAUUAAAAGGAGAUGUUGUGCUCUGCAAGUGGUGCCCCUUCAACUAGUAUUUUUACAUAAAAACUCUAACCCCUUUUGUAAUAGUGCCAACUGUACAAGUAAAAGUAUCUUUUAGACAAUUAUCGCUUCAUUUCCUGCAGGUAAAAAAUGUAACUCAAGUUCUGUGAAAAAAAAAAUUAACAUACAUAUGGAUUCAGUUUCAGUUUUUGACGUUUAUUUUAAACAAAUGAAUAGUCGCGAAUUCGGUGGAAAAUUGUUCCUAGCAUUAUGGACAGGAAUUGAAAAAGUUGCUACCAAUAUGAAUACAGCUUUAACCAUUUAUAAAAUAAAAAAUUAUUUAGGAGUUAGUCCUUACAUUGUAAUAUAAAAUUAUUUUGAAUAUUAUUCUAACGUCCGUAUCUUAAUUAAAGCGUUUUUCGUUGAAUUCCUUAAUAAAUUUUUUUGGAAACAAAAACCAAUUUAACAUGAACAAUAUAAACCUCAUAUUAAUUAUAUAUUUUUUAUCUAAUCAAUAUUGUUAAUGAAAUGUACAAAAAAUAAGUUAAGUACGUCAUAUGCAUACGACAUUAAAA